ACGCUCGACACCUACUGGAGGCAGCAGUGGGGAAUAUUGCACAAUGGGGGAAACCCUGAUGCAGCGACGCCGCGUGAGCGAAGAAGUAUCUCGGUAUGUAAAGCUCUAUCAGCAGGGAAGAAAAUGACGGUACCUGACUAAGAAGCACCGGCUAAAUACGUGCCAGCAGCUGCGGUAAUCUGAGGCGGGCUGGCAAGGC
rnacentral:rRNA from 1 species